AAGUGACUAGGUUUUAGAUGAGAAAAAACUAGAGGAAAAAAAAAAGAAGAAAGGCUGAGAGAAAGAGAAAAAGAAGAAAAGAAGGAGGAUGUGAAGAAAAAUAGGGAGAGAGAGAGAAGAAGAAAGUUUGACUGAGAAAGAGAAUGAGGUAGAAAAGAAAGAAGAAGAGAGAGAAGAAAAAGAAAGGUUGAGUGAAAAACAAAAAGAUGAAGUAGAGAGGAAAAGAAGAGAGUGAGAGAAAAGAAGGGAUAAAAAGUGUGGUUGAGAGAAAAGAAGACGGGAAGAAUGUGGAAGAAAAAAGAAAAGAAGAAAAAGAGGUUGAGAGAGAAAAGG
rnacentral:lncRNA from 1 species